AACGAACGCUGGCGGCAUGCCUAACACAUGCAAGUCGAACGCGUGGCUUCGGCCACGAGUGGCGCACGGGUGAGUAACGCGUGGGAACCUGCCCAUCGGUACGGAACAACCGCGGGAAACUGCGGCUGAUACCGUAUAUACCCCUGCGGGGGAAAGAUUUAUCGCCGAUGGAGGGGCCCGCGUCGGAUUAGGUAGUUGGUGGGGUAACGGCCUACCAAGCCUGCGAGUCCGUAGCUGGUCUGAGAGGAUGAUCAGCCACACU
rnacentral:rRNA from 1 species